GCCGGGAUCGCCUAGCCAGGUAUGGCGUCGGAUUGCUAAUCCGAUGGGCCUUAGGCCCUCGUGGGUUCAAAUCCCACUCCCGGCGCCA
rnacentral:tRNA from 7 species